rnacentral:rRNA from 1 species
UACAGAGGGUGCAAGCGUUAAUCGGAAUUACUGGGCGUAAAGCGCGCGUAGGUGGUUUGUUAAGUUGGAUGUGAAAUCCCCGGGCUCAACCUGGGAACUGCAUCCAAAACUGGCAAGCUAGAGUAUGGUAGAGGGUGGUGGAAUUUCCUGUGUAGCGGUGAAAUGCGUAGAUAUUGGAAGGAACACCAGUGGCGAAGGCGACCACCUGGACUGAUACUGACACUGAGGUGCGAAAGCGUGGGGAGCAAACAGG